rnacentral:lncRNA from 1 species
UUUUUUUUUUUUUUUUCAGUGGAAAUUUUUAUUCUUAUUAAUGCCUGGUCAAAACAGAGCCUCUUGCCCAUUGGGAAUAUACUUCUUAGUGGAGCGUAUACAAUGACAAAGGUAUCACACACAUUUUUAAAAAAGGAACUCAUAUAGGAUAGAGUUUACUAAAAUUCCUGUUUUUAUAGGGCAUAAGCCCAUAGCAACACUAUUAAUAAUGAGUGCAUUCUUAUGUGAAGUUCUAUAUUUUACAUCUCUCCAGUAUAUUGGCAUCACCCAAAGAAACAUAAAACUCCUAAUAUGCCAUUAUAGCUAGGGCAUCAAUAAUAAACUGGAAAAAGAAAAAAAAGAAGAGUCAAUAAAGUCCAAGGAAAAUUUGAAAUGCCCUGAAAUUUCACAGCUCCUGUAUGAAAGAAACUUGAUAGAUGUUUCCCCAAAUUUCACAAUAGUCCUAAAAGAUUUAUAUAACAGUACUGAUAAGGAAUUUUGAAGCUGAAAGAAAAUCUUCUAAAUUAUAAAUAAUAAAGUUUGAUCAACAAUGAUAGAAGACUGAAUUAUAUUUCUAUUUGUCUAUAGAAAAUGACGCUUAAAAUUGUUCAUAUGAAGAGUCAAUCAAAAAGUCUGCAGCCCAAAAAUUGUAGGAAAUAAUCACUUAGGGGUAUAUCAGGCAAUUUUAAAAUCAUAUUAAAAAAUUUUUGUGAUAUUUAUGGUCAACUUUAAAAAUUUUGUUAUUUGUUGUGCUAUCAUUUGUCAUGCUAAAUAAAUACUCACUUUUGAACCUAAUUUUAUAGUUUUACUUUUGUUUCUUUUCUUUUUAAGAGGGCCUUCAAAGUUGUAUAUGCUAGGAUUUAGGUGCCACAAAACAUGAAUCUGCCCCUAAUCCUCCUUUAUCUUCCUAGUGUUCCGUAGUUUGGGAUAAAAAAGCACUAUCAUCUUUAGCGUUCCAACUACAGACAAUUGGUGUAUGAUUCUUUCCAUGUCAACCUUUCAGAUGGCUCCUGGCCUUUUUUGGUUUAUAGAAUAAGUUGAGUUUCUAGAAUUAACCAGGAGCUGAAGACCACUCCCUUCUGAUUCAUUCAUGGUGUUUGAGCUUGAAACUCUUAAUUCUUAAGUCUCUUUGAGCCGAGGCCCCAAGGACAGAUUCGUUCUUCCUUUGCCAUUUGGCUGGCUCUAGAAUGGAGGUAGAGUUGAAGGGAAGAGGGAGAAGAGGACCUCAUGCAUACAGAAUUCUAAUCUGAUGACUUUUGGGGGUGCCUCCUAAUUGGUCCCAGUUGGUAUAUCUUGCUGAGAAAGGAGAAGGCAUAUGAUGACCAGGGAAAGGAAGUGAGGAUAUUUAGUCAGAGAAGAGAUCUCUCUGUUGGAAACCUAUCUUAGCAGCUCUUACCACAACAUUGCAUAACCACUGAAAAUUCAGUGCUUGAAGUGGGUGGGUAUUCAUUUCUUGAGCGCACAGGUAUUUGGAUCAGCCAAGGUUUAGCUGAUCUGGGCUGGCUCUGCCAGGCUUGGCUCCACUGUGGGUGAGGUCCAGGUCUGCUCCGUGUGUCCUUUAUCCUCCUUGAACCAGCAGCUACCAGAGGCAUGUUUUUUCUCAUGGUGAAAGGCAAGAGCCCAAGGCCAACUUUGUAAGCACAGUUCAAGCCUCUGCUGGCAUAAUAUCUGCUAACAUUCCCCUGGAUGAAUCCUAUCAAUAGCCAGGCCCAAAUUCAAGGGUAGGAAAAAUCACUCUGUCUUGUUUUGAAGACAAAGCAAACCACAUGGGCAAAGCAGCAUCAGGGAGCAAGGAAGAUGGAGGUGGAGGCAUGGAAAGAGCAACUAUCUGAUGAACCAUCAUCUAAUAUGCCACAAGAGCUGUCAUAGUGAAGAAAGAUUAAAUUUCCUCACCUCCCAGUCCUCAAUGUACUAGUCUAUUCUCUUUCCCUGCUUUUACCAAAACUGCUAAGUUUUCCUUAUUUUGCUUCAUUAUAUCUAGAAUGUGGUUCUUCUUCAUGCUUGCGUAGAUGGCUGCUACAGCUUAAUACCUGCUCUCCUUGUCUCUGGUCUUGUCCUUUCCCAAUUCAUCAUCCACAGAGCUGCCAGCUAUCAUCAGUAUCCUGUCAGCAUCAGCAUCAGCAUCAUUGUUUUGUAUUUUGCAUUACACUUACUGGUUUAUGCACCUUGCUCCUUCAUUGUAUUGAGAGCUUCUGGACGGCAAGAACUGCAUUUUACUUAUCUUUGAAUCUUCAGGAUCCUUCAAUAAGGAAAGAAGGAAGAUGGGACUCCGAUUAAAGUCUGCAUGACCUUAAAGCCCAAGCUCUUUCUACUCUACCAUAAUUUAGACUUAGUCACAGAUGUGUUGCUGAUAAAAAUAAGGAUAAAGCUCAAACCCUCCCACUGCUACACCAGUGGGAAAGUAGGCUACUAGAUCGAGAUUAGUAAAGAUUCUUUCUCCCAUAAUCACGAUAAUCCUUCCUAAUCCUAAUUCUUGGAAAAUGGAAAGGUCUUGAAGCCACAAAAAGUUUUAAAUGGCCAUCAGCACUUUAAAUAUAUAAAAAGAUGUUUAACUUCUUUCUUAAAUGCAUAUAGCCUUUUUGUACCAGGUUAGCAGGGAUCAAAAAAAUGUUUGAACAUUGUAUUGGUAAAGGGUGUGGAAAAACACAUUCACACGUACUGCUGAUGGGAGUGUAAAUCAUUCGUCCUCUGUGGAGGGCAGCUGGGCAAUGCCAGUCAACUCUUUAUGGACUGACACAGGGAAGUCUCCAGUACACCUUGUGUUGUAAGUAAGAAGGAAAGUUACAGAACAGUGGUUACUUUCUAUGCCUGGGGUUGGGGGGGAAACAGAUCCCCAUGUAUGUUAUUGUUGUUAAAGCAAGCUCUGGAAAGGUAUCCAAGAAACUGUUAUAAGCACUUGCCUUUGGGAGGGGAAUUGAGCAGAACAAGGAUGAGAGGAAGAUUUCUUUGUGGAUGUGUAUCUUUUACAUUUUGUUCCAUUUAGAAUACUGUUUAGAUGACAUCAACAGUAUCAGAGGAUCAACAAACUGGAAAAUGUAUUUGUAACAUGAUAUGGCAAAGGGCUAAUGUCCUUUACCUACAGAGUUUAUAAAUCAGUUAAAUUAAGACAUGGGGAGGGAUGCCUGGGUGGCUCAGCGGUUGAGCAUCCGCCUUUGGCUCAGGUCGUGAUCCUGGGGUCCUGGGAUCGAGUCCUGCAUCAGGCUCCCCAUAAGAAUCCUGCUUCUCCCUCUGCCUAUGUCUCUGCCUCUCUCUGUGUCUCUCAUGAAUAAAUAAAUACAAUUUUAAAAAAAAGAAGAAUAGAGAGAGACAGAGGGAGAAAUAGGUAAAGGAUAUAAAUACUAAUUUUAGAAAAAAAAUAAAAGGCCAGUAAUUACAUGGAAAAAAAAUGCCCAACUCAUGC